rnacentral:rRNA from 1 species
CCUACGGGUGGCAGCAGUGAGGAAUAUUGGUCAAUGGCCGGAAGGCUGAACCAGCCAUGCCGCGUGAAGGUCAGUGCCCUAUGGGCGUUAAACUUCUUUUGUGCGGGAGCAAUAAUGGUCACGUGUGGCCAGACGAGAGUACCGUACGAAUAAGCAUCGGCUAACUCCGUGCCAGCAGCCGCGGUAAUACGGGGGGUGCAAGCGUUAUCCGGAUUUAUUGGGUUUAAAGGGUGCGUAGGCUGUGAGGUAAGUCAGCGGUGAAAUGCCCCCGCUCAACGGGGUGAAGUGCCAUUGAUACUGGCUGGCUGGAAUGCGGAUGCCGUGGGAGGAAUGAGUGGUGUAGCGGUGAAAUGCAUAGAUAUCACACAGAACACCGAUUGCGAAGGCAUCUCACGAAUCCGCGAUUGACGCUGAUGCACGAAAGCGUGGGUAUCAAACAGGAUUAGAUACCCCUGUAGUC